AACGAACGCUGGCGGCAUGCCUAACACAUGCAAGUCUAACGAGACCUUCGGUUCUCGUGGCGCCCGGUUGCUUAACCCUUGGGAACCUGCCCUUAGGUUCGGAAUAACUCCCCGAAAGGGGUGCUAAUACCUGAUAUUGUCUUCGUACCAAAGAUUUAUCGGCUUGGGAUUGGCUCGCGUUUGAUUAGCUUUUUGGUAGGGUAAACUCCUACCAAGGCUACGAUCCAUAGCUGGUCUGAGAGGAUGAUCAGCCACACUGGGACUGAGACACGGCCCAGACUCCUAAGGGAGGAAGGAGUGGGGAAUAAUGAACAAUGGGAGAAAGGCUGAUCCAGCAAUGUCGCGUGAAUGAUGAAGGCCUUAGGGUUGUAAAGCUCUUUUACCCGGGAAGAUAAUGACAGUACCGGGAGAAUAAGCGACGGCUAAAUCCGUG
rnacentral:rRNA from 1 species